rnacentral:rRNA from 1 species
GACACGACUCUCGGCAACGGAUAUCUCGGCUCUCGCAUCGAUGAAGAAUGUAGCGAAAUGCGAUACAUGGUGUGAAUUGCAGAAUCCCGCGAACCAUCGAGUCUUUGAACGCAAGUUGCGCCCGAGGCCACCCGGCCGAGGGCACGCCUGCCUGGGCGUCACGC